UGGUCAGAGAUUGGACGUUGCUACUUACAAGGAUAAUUCCACUUUUGAUUUCAACCACACCAAACAAAAGGUGACUCAUGUGUAAGUUGAAUUUAUCCGCGAAGAAAAACAUUUAAAUAUUUAUAUUAGUUCGAAGCUGCAAAAAGGUAAAAUAAACGUACCGUUAUGUACUAAUCAGAUAUUAAUUAAGGUAAUGUAAAAGUCUGUCACAGACACACUGAUAUUGCUUUGAGAUUUUCUCAUUACAAAAAGUCUAAGUUGUGUUGAGACUGCUGUUGGACAUCAAAUUUGAUCACAAUAACAACAUUUGACAUGGAAUAUAUAACUCGGCGAUAUUCAUCAACCAAUGAAGCUAAAGAAAAAUAUUAUGCAGAAUAGAUAAAACCCAGUUUAUAUAAAUCUAUGGUUGAAUUACUGUGAAAUAUUUCUUCUGAAAUGAGAUUGAAAGAAACAUUUCUUUACUUUACUGUUUGUAAUAGAUAGAAGAUAAUUUUGCAUUCUAAUUAAACAUUUACAUAUUUAUUAUGUAAAUAUAACUGGUUUCUUUGCAAGAAAUUUCUUGGGAGAUAUAUCUUGGAAAAUGAA